rnacentral:misc_RNA from 1 species
UAGCAACAGCUGCAAUGGCAGAAGAAGCACAAACAGAAGCCAUUUUUGGCCAAUUUCUUCUUCUCGAAUGAUAUUGUGCUGUGUUGGAAUGGUGUGUGGAGGUUGAUAUGGAUGCAAAUUUGUUAAUGUAUAGAGAGGCUUAUCUUAAAGGAUAGGAGAAAGAAAAUGUAAUUGGCUAAUGGGUUGCCAUGUGGCAUGCAGAAUCUGAUAUCAAAACUUUCUAUAUCCACGUCCUUUGCCUAGUUGGGUUAAUCACAAAUUGGUGGCUCACAUCCUCCGCCUCCUGGUUCAUAUAAUCUAAAUAUCUGCUGCAAUUGGCCAUUGGGCCUAGCAGGUGAUAAUAGUUAAGCUAGCGUUCUGAUGCACUUGCCACAGCCUACACAUUUGACUCUUAUGGGACAAAAGGCAU